rnacentral:lncRNA from 1 species
GCUUAAUUCUCAUUUGCACACUUUUUACAGUUCAAAGUCGAAGCGAAACUGAAAUUGAACCUCAAGUUACUUUAUUAAUAUACAUUCCAGGUUUUAUUUGGAAUUAUUGUUUUGUGCAUUGUAUUACAGAACAUUUUUUGUUAAUCUGUCUUCAAAAUAUAAUAACUUGUUCUACCCAUGAAAUUACUUUUUUUUUUUUUUUUAUGCUUUACAACAUCGACGACUCCCCUCCACCCACCUGUCAUAUAGAGAUCAUGAGUAGCUAGUGGAAAUAGUGUAGGAAACCCAGAUGUGUUCGACAGGAGUAAAGGUGAAACCAUUACGACACAAACGCAAACUCCCUUCAUGACUUUGAAUAAAAGGCCACAGAUGGAAGAGAGCACCAUUGACAUUGAUGUCAACAAGCGUUCAUCGUGCACCAUAAAGGACCCAACAGAUUUCACAAACAUACUUGAUAUCAGUCAAGAAGACAAUGAAAAGUUCAAGAGCUUGGCUGAACCCUCACCAUCAGAUUUCUUGGAAUAAAGGCUGUGUUAUUGCCCAAUAUUAAAGUUUGCUCCAAAGAACGUGGCAUUAUCUUGCAUUCUAUGGUUUCUACUUUCUACACAGAGACAUUACAUCACUUAUCUACAUUCUGGCUGAUAUAGCCUGAAAAAUUCCUGUAAUGUGGUUGAGCCAUUUCCUUCAUGCCAUUUUCCCUUCCUAAAAUGUUUACUGAUAGAUUGUUCCUUGCUGCUCUUUGUCACAAUGAAAAAGUGUUAGUAGUAACAAUUUAAGAGUCCAAAAAGAAGGAAUAUUCCCUUCUCUACAUAAAACAGCAUCAACAUACAGUAUGUUGGAUGAUGGAAUUUACAUCGC